GGGGGUUGACACAUCGAAUAUUUUCAUUCGAAUCAUUCUGUUCAUUCCAGAAUUAUUCUGGAAUGAUGCUGGCAUAAUAUUAAUUAUUCCGUUUCUACUUAAUUUCAUUUAUGCGUGUUAGCUGUCAUUUUCUUGUUGAAAAAAAUUACAGAACAAUUUUCGGUGGCCAGUCAACCGAUGGGGGUGAAGGUUUGCGCGGUCACUGGCGGGACGGAUCAGCUUCUGGAGUCACAACAGUUUCUGGCGCGACCACACAUUGUUGGUGGCCCAUUUGACCGGGUUUAAUACGUAUUCGUUCCGGGCGUUACAAUUUCUGGUGGUGGACGAGGCGGACCGGGUACUGAGCGGGAGAUUGACGAGAAUUUGAAGGCGAAUAUGCGGUUUCGGCGGAGAAGCGGCAGGCCUUUCAAUUUCAAUCUUCCGAUUCCCAUGCGAUCUGGCAUUUCUGGGGGUAAUUAGAGCUCUAAUCGACACGAAGCUAUCGGAACAUCCGGUGCACCAGCGGCUCGUCGAGCAUAUCGUCAUGCAGGUCAGCGUGGCCCGGCGCGAAGCGGAGAUGAACAAGUACUUUGACAAGCCGAGGGAAACUACCGGCGUAAGCAAUUGCUCGAGCAGCCCGUGAUCCGGACGAGAUGGAUGCCAAGUGGAAACACGAACUGGAACAGCGAAAAGUAGAGCGGAAAGACCGUCUGCGGAAGGAGACAAGAUGCAAAAAGAAUUUGGCAAACGGUUCGGGUUCGUGGUGAAAGAUGACCGGUUUAAGGAGCGGUUGAGCGAAAGUUUGUCGAGGAGGAAAAUCUGGACAAGUUGAUGCACGAGAAGAAAGUGGAAAGCAUUUUAAGAAAUUUAACAAAUUUAAGAAGGUUCAAAAAUAAAAUUUCAAAUUGUUUCUCACACAGAAUUUAUUCAAUUUGUUGCUCUCUAGCACAAUGACACCCCUUCAAUCACAGUUCAGGCUUCUUCGGUGAGAGCCGCGCCUGCCCAAGGUAAUAUUUCCGGCGGCGUUCCGGUCAUCCUCGGACUUGUUCAGACAGACGAUCCGGUGUGCUUCUAUGAAUGUCUCACUAAGCAGUCCCGGAACCAUGGCCUUGCCGGUUGAAGAAUAUGAUUUAAAAAUCAAGCCAGAGACAAGCU